rnacentral:rRNA from 1 species
GACGAACGCUGGCGGCGUGCUUAACACAUGCAAGUCGAACGGAAAGGCCCUGCUUUCGUGCGCUGCCCGAGUGGCGAACGGGUGAGUAACACGUGUGUAACCUGCUCUUGACUUUGGGAUAACUUCAGGAAACUGGGGUUAAUACCGUAUAGCAUCUCCUGCUGCAUGGUGGGGGUUGGAAAGUUGCGGCGGGCGGGGAUGGACUCGCGGCUUACCAGCUUGCUGGUGGGGUAGUGGCUUACCAAGGCUUUGACGGGUAGCCGGCCUGGGAGGGUGACCGGCCACAUUGGGACUGAGAUACGGCCCAGACUCCUACGGGGGGCAGCAGUGGGGAGUAUUGCACAAUGGGCGGAAGCCUGAUGCAGCAACGCCGCGUGCGGGAUGACGGCCUUCGGGUUGUAAACCGCUUUCGCCUGUGACGAAGCGUGAGUGACGGUAAUGGGUAAAGAAGCACCGGCUAACUACGUG